AUUUGAGGAGAUUCUAACACUAUCUGGUUCCAUUCCUGAGAACUUGUCUGAGUUAUCUCUCUACUCAAAAUGAGUAUUGAUUUGUGCAUUUCUAAAUAUCUCAAGAUCUGGACUACUGUCAAAGAAGUUUCCAGUGAGAAAUCACUAACAGGUCAGAGAACAAUCUAUGAAGUUCAAGAUGAUACAGGAAGCAUCACUGAAGUGGUGGGGAAUAAAAAAUGUCAUGGUUUUCCCUGCGAAGAAGGAGAUACACUUCAAUUCUUCUUCUUUCGACUGCAAAAGAGAAGAGGCACAAUCAAACUAUAUAGUAACACACAUAGUUUUAUCCAGCACAUCUAGGACAAGAAAAGAAAGAAAGAAACACUCAAUCCAGAUGGAGAUAUGGAAACUUCAUUAGAGCCUUCCUUCUAGACCCUUUUUAAAAAUUUUAUUAGCAUUAAUUUAUAAAUUAAUUUACAUUUGUGAAUCCAUUUGAUUGGGAACUUGGGCUGCUUCCAUGACUUGGCAAUUGUGAAUUGGGUUGCAAAAACAUUCUUGUGUAAAUGUCUUUGUUGUAAAGUGAUUUUGGGUCAUCUGUACAUAUACCUAGUAGAAAAAUUACAGAAUCGAAUGGCAAGUCUACUUUUAGUUCCUUAAGUGUUCUCCAAACUUCUUUCCCGAAGGGACGUAUUAGUUUGCAUUCUUACCAACACUGCAGAAGUGUUCCCUUCUCUCCACAUCCAUGCCAACAUCUGAAGUUUGGGGAUUUUGUUAUGUGGGCUAAUCUUACUGGAGUUAGAUGAUAUCUCAAAGUGGUUUUGAUUUGCAUUUCUCUGAUGAUUAAAGAUUAUGAGCAUUUUUUCAUGUGUCUGCUGGCCAUGUGCCUGUCUUCUGCAGAGAAGCUUCUGUUCAAGUCUAUUGAACACAAUGAAAUGGGAUCACUUGUUCUUUUUUUAUUAAUAAGUUUGAGUUCUCUAUGAAUUCUCGUUAUCAAACCCGUGUCAGAAACAUAACCGGCAAACAUCUUCUCCUAUUCUGAGUGCUAUCUGCUUGCUUUACCUACUGUGUUCUUGGCUGUGCAGAAGCUUUUUAGUUUGAUCAGAUCCCAGUAAUGUGACGUAAUUCAGUAACGUAAUUUUGGUAUUGCUUUGAUUGCCGGGGGAGUUCUCCUCUUACAGUAUUCUCCCAGGCCAAUUUCUUCAAGUGUUUCCCCUAUACUCUCUCCAAGAAUCUUUAUAGUUCCAUGUCUUAAGUUUAAAUCUUUUAUCCAGUCAGAGUCAAUUUUUGUUAAUGGUGAAAUGUGUGGGUCCAGUUUCAUUCUUCUACAAAUUGCUAGCCAAUUCACCCAGCACCAUUUGUUAAAUAGGGUAUCUAUCCCCUAAUUCAUGUUUUUGAUACCAUGGAAUAUUAUGCAGCCAUAAAAAGAUGAAAACUUUGCCUCUUUUAUGUUUACAUGGAUGGAGCUUGAUGAUAUUCGUUUUAGUAAAGUAUCUCAAGAAUGGGGAAAAAAAUGCCCGGGUGGCACCUGUGGCUUAAAGGGGUAGGGCGCUGCCCUAUAUGCCAGACGUGGCAGGUUCAACCCCAGCCCCAGACAAAAACUACAAAAAUAAAAAAAAAAAGGAAAAAAAUGCCCAAUGUACUCAAUAGCAUUAUGAAAUCAAUACAUAAUCACCCACACUUUCAUACGAAAGAUAAGACACAAUUAUAGCCCAGAAAGAAGGAGAGAAGAGGAGGGUGGAGGGGGGGAUGGACAGGCAGAGGAAGGGUAAUCAGAAGGAGGGUAAUUGGUGGGACCUUACCUACUGUGCAUGACGUACAUGUCAAAUAUACAAAUAAUAGAGUGUAUGUGUCUAAACACAACAAUUAAAUCAGUGAGGUGAAUGAUAUGUUAACCAGUUUGGUAUAAACAUUCCAAAUUGUAUAUAAAAUCAGCACAUUGUACUCCAUAAAGGCAGUAAUGUACACAAUUAUGAUCUAAUAAAAAAUUUAAAAUAUAAUAUAUAAUGCAAAAAUAUAUUAAUUAAUUUACAUUAAUUUUUAUAAAUUUGAUGAAAAAAAAAACUACUUUUUCUAAAAGAGUGCUUCCCCAGCAGUCUCUUCAACUCAUUUGUUGAGUUGCUCAAAAGCAAAUAGUGUGUGGCUUGCAAAUCAAAGUGGAGCAGAAGGGCCUCAUAUCUGGACUUCAUUCUUUGGGUGUGAUUUCACCAGAUGAGGCCCAGGUCAGGCAUGAAUAAACUGCGUCCUGCACACAGAAGCCAGGCUUGGCAGCCCGAGUGAACUAUAGCCUGUACUUCAAUGUCAGGCUCUGUGUUCUGCAGAGACAUUGCUCUAGCCCAAAGCUGGGGAUAUCUUUUCAGAAUUGGUUUCCUACAGAGGGCACAACCAGGAUUUCCUCUGCUGAGUAGGACACAUUCUGUGAUUCACAUGAAGGUACUUGUAUUUUAGAAGUAUUUCUCACCCUGUCUGAUGUGAAAUACCUGGCUUCAUUCAUUUCUUCCAUACCAAAGCAUCUCAACAAGUCUCAAAUCUUAUUUCCUGGUUCUCACAUUCCACAUGUAAGGAAACACUUAGACAAAUCAGAGAAUAAUUAAUUUCUUUAGAGUGGGAAAGAGAAGAUAUCAAAACUGAAGCUUACAACAUAUUUACUGAUCACAUAUUUGGUACUUGGUAUUUUGCAGUUAUUGUGUGUUGUUUAAUCUUUGAAAUAGCAUCAGAGAGUUGGUCAUUUUCUCCUUUUUAUUUGCCUUAUCAAAGGUAUAAAAAGGUGAACAGAAAGGUAAAUUCACUCUCCUAGUGACACUUAGAUCAAUUAUAGUCUCAAAUUGGAAUCUAAGCCUGAUAUUCUGGUUUGGAGUAGAUGUCCUAAUUUUCGGGACCAGGGAUGAGAUGAAAACGAAACAAUGAGUAAGACAUGAUUCUACCCCAGAUGGAGAAAGCUGAAAAGACCCUCACUCUCACUCCUAUAAUACUAAAGUGAAAUAAUAUGCCAAGUCACAACCUUAUAAACCCAGAUUCUAUAGUGGCCUGAAGCUAUUUAUAACCAAUUAUUCUAAGGAAAAAAGGCAUUUGAG